UCCCACUGUCCCUGUCUACU
rnacentral:snRNA from 1 species